rnacentral:rRNA from 1 species
AUUGAACGCUGGCGGCAGGCCUAACACAUGCAAGUCGAACGAGUGGCGGACGGGUGAGUAAUAUCGGGGAAACUGCCUGAUGGACGGGGAUAAAUUCUGGAAACGGUAGCUAAUACCGCAUACCUCCAGAUGUGCCCAGAUGGGAUGAGCUAGGUGGGGGGGGAACGGCGCACCAAGGCGACGCUCCCUAGCUGGUCUGAGAGGAUGACCAGCCACACUGGAACUGAGACACGGUCCAGACUCCUACGGAAGGCAGCAGUGGGGAAUAUUGCACAAUGGGCGCAAGCCGGAUACAGCCAUGCCGCGUGUAUGAAGAAGGCCUUCGGGUUGUAAAGUACGUUCAGAGGGGAGGCGUUACCAGCAGAAGAAGCACCGGCUAACUCCGUGCCAGCAGCCGCGGUAAUAC